UACGUAGGGUACGAGCGUUAAUCGGAAUUACUGGGCGUAAAGCGUGCGUAGGCGGUCCGCGAAGUCUGAUGUGAAAGCCCCGGGCUCAACCUGGGAACUGCAUUGGAAACUAACGGGCUCGAGUGUGGCAGAGGGGGGUGGAAUUCCACGUGUAGCAGUGAAAUGCGUAGAGAUGUGGAGGAACACCGAUGGCGAAGGCAGCCCCCUGGGCUAACACUGACGCUCAGGCACGAAAGCGUGGGGAGCAAACAGG
rnacentral:rRNA from 1 species